CGCGCGCUGAGCUGCUGCCGGAGAGUCAGGAGCGUGUGCGCGCGGGGCCUAAGGGAGCCGGACCAAAUAGGGGCGGAGCGGGGAGAAGGAGGAGGGCCGAGCUCGCGCCCAGGGGGUGGGCUCGAGCCAGCCGGGUUUCUUUGGCACGCGGUCCUGGCCACUCAGAGAGCCCGGCGCCUGUGGACUGACAGGCAGAACGAGAGAGGGGAGGGGGUUGUAGGGAGAGGGGGACACAACACCGAGGGGAGGUCGCGGCUGAGGUCGCUACAUAAUUAAUACACUCCACUCCCUGCUCCAGGCUGGAGGCUUGCAGAAGCUGGGGGAAGGACGCACUGGGGGGGCCAGGGUAGAGCCUCGAAACUUGUGCCGGGCUGUUGCUGGUGGUGCCGCCGGGGAUUACGGGGCCAAGACCCUCUGUCCCACUUCCUCCCCUUGCCGCGGGAUCCAGCUUCACCCAGGGAGCUGCUGGUGCUGCCCUGAGUGCGAAGAAAUUCGGAGACCCGAGCGUUGAGGCUUGGCGCCCCUUGGGAGCCAGAACCGGGGCUUGCACCCUGGAAGUUUUUCCUCCACCGCUAACUUUGUCUCUGGAGGAGAGAUUCCAGGCAGGUGUGUGAGCGCUGCUGGCCGGCGGGGCUUUCUGGGGAGGCACAGCUGACUACCAAGAUGAAGAACUGAGACUCAGAAAGUAUGCUACAACAGAAAAAGCUCUGACUGUGGAGUCAGAGAACUUGUUUCUAACACUGUCUGCGUAACCUUGGGUGCCUUGAUGCCAGGGAAGGGGUGCCAUGGAUAAUGGACACAGAAGUUCUCUAGGUAUUAAUAAAGAUGUUUAAAAGAUAAGUGACCUCCAGGCCAGAGAAUCAGUUGGUUCAGAAGACCCAAGAAGAGAUCUUGUGCCAAGAGAACUGGUUUUUGAUGGAUGAACCUAAGGCUGUAAUGAGGAUAAUUUCCUGCCCAUAGGAAAUGAGUGUUGGAAAAAACCUGUUCCCUGUUGCCAAAUGGAUACUACAUCCCACUCAAAUCCUGCUGAAAUAUAACCUUAUUGUUAUUUUUCCUAAAAGACAUUAUCAAAAACAGAAUUGUUGGCUUUGGAAAUGUGACGUUGUGACUACAAGAACCAAGUGCUCCGCAACCUCUAAUAAUUCAGAAGACCUCAUGUAAUAUCCCAAAGACCUAGUGAUGACCGGCCUUCUCUAACAGAGCCAACAAAGUCCAGUUGUAGAAAGUUGUAAGAAAGAAGAAAAAAGAAAGAGGAGAAAAAGUAAUUCAACAAAACCAACCAACCCAUUACCCCAUGGGACAAUAUAUACCCAUAGUUUUGUACCCAUAGCUCUCCACCUUUGCAAAGAGAGGAGGGAAAUGUGUCUUCUUCCUCUUUUCUUCAGGAGCAACCCUGAUCAUUAUUGUGAUUAUCAGGAGCUAGGUGAAGCUGUGACUUUUGUUCUUUCUGUAUACUUCUCAGUCUAGGAAACCCAUAGAAGACCCUGUACAAUCCUGUAAAGUGCGUUAUCCUUGUCCUCAAUACCAAAUGAUGCUUCUUAAGCGUCCACCUAUGAGGGUGGAGGAGGGAGGAAGCUAGGCCAAGUUAUGAAUGAAGCAAGCUAACCACUAUCCUUGCUGCAUAUGGCUUUGUUAAAAAAAAAAAAAAAGACAGCUGCUAUGUGGACACGAGAACAGAAAGCUGUAAAGUAACACUCAGUUAUGUAGCACCGAGAAGAAAAAACAUGGCAGGAUCACAAACUUUGUUAGUUUAAUAAAUUAACUCUUUAUAUUAGAGUUAUUUCACAUUUAUGUGCACAUUGUAUGACUUUAUAUGGUUCACAAGAAUUGGGAUAGAGCAAAGGAUAUAUCAUCAAAAAAAUCAAUAAAUCAACUUCAUUCUUAAAAUGAAGACUUAAGAUAAAAAGAAGACUUAAGGCAGAGGGUAAGGUGAUUGAAAGGCAGUGGAAAUCAUCAAAAAUCCUAUUUGGUGCCACUCUGAAGAAUUCUAUAGGUAGGGCUAGAUUUCAAAGAAAAUUGCUAUGAUCUUAACUCCAUCAGGGAUGGACAAAUACUUUAGCCUCGCCCAUUUUUUUUGUUUGUUUAUGGUUUCCAGUGGUGUUACUGUUCCAGAUUUAACCCCUACAGCCAUAUACCAGCUUAUAAUGACUAAUACCAUAUGUCAUUGUUUUGGAAACUUUAGCAUGUUAAUAGUUUGUGUCUUCGAGCCUUGAUUUCUGCUCUGACCCCUUUAUUCUCAACAUGUGCCUGUCUGAUACAUUUAAAUCAACAACUAUGUGUCAGGUACUAUACUAAGCAAUGGAGCUGGACACACCCACACCCACACCCACACCCACACACACACACACACACACACACACACACACACACACACACGCGCGUGCGCACACACACAAUGAAUUAGAGAUAGUUUUGGAGAGGAAGCACUAGUUAAUGGUACAUAAUAAGGGAGAGUGGAAAAUCCUUCUUAUAGAACGUAGAAUUUUAGUUGAGAUUUGAAGAAGGCCAGGAGGAAAAAGGUCAUUCCAGGCAUAGGUUUGGUUCAUUGACAAUGAUCAGUCAGGAGAUGGAGUGUCUUUGUGAGAAACAGCCAGGAGGCCACUGCCAAUGGAUUGUAGAGUACCUGUAAGGGGGUAAGGUGUGAGAAGUUUAGAAAGGCAGCCCAAUGGGAUUUAAGCUUUUCUGUGAUAUUUCUCCCCAUCUUCCCCUGGCCACGGGUGACCUUUCAUUUGUGUGCUUCAUUCUCUUCUAACACUGUAGAGACCUUGCUCCAACAAUUAUCCCUUCACUGACAUCUUCAACCUAUCCUCUUUAUCCACUGCCUCCUUCCCAGCCAGUACAAAUAUGCCUCAGUAUCCCUGAAUACAAACAAAAACCCUUCCGUCUGUCCUGCUACACCUCCGACUGUCCUGCCCCUCCCUCGUUGUUCCUCUUAAUUGCCAAUGUCCUUGAGUAGUCUGUGAUUAUUGACUUCUGCACAACACUGAGAUGCACGCUGAGAGGCAAUCGCAAACCUUCCAACUGUCAAAUCCAAAAGUCUUUUCCCAGUGUUCAGUUUCUUUGACCUGUCUGUAACCAUUUGCUGUUGAUGACUUCCUCCCUCUGGGUACUUUCUGCUCUUGGCUCCCAUGGCACUUCCAUCUCCUUAUUUCCUUAUUUUAACUGUGGGACUAUUCUUUCUCUGGCUUUUCUUUUUUCCCCCUGCCCUUUACAUGUCAUGAGUGACAUUAAGCAACUUGCUAAAGUCAUAAAUGCAGUAAGAAGAAUCCAAAGGGGACUUUGACCCUAGGAUUCUGUGACUUCAGUGCCUAUACUCUUUCUAUUGCAUCAUGCUGCAGUUGUCUGUGCAAAGUCUUUCUCUCUUCUCUACAUUCUCUCCUUUUGUUAUCUCUUCCACUCACAUACCACUAUUGCUUUAUGUGGAAUGACUGCCAGGAGAGUAGUUCAUUAGUAUAAGUCUUGGGCUUAGUCUAGAAGACCAGUCUUGCAUCUUCCUUUAGUAAAUGAUGCUUGUGCCUCCCAAUACAUAACCUCUCCUGUCUCACCUUUCCCUUUCCACUGUCACCAUCCUAGUUCAAGCCCUUAUAGCGUCUCUUUUGGAUAGUUGCAGUUCUAGCCUCUGCCCGCUCUGAUCUAUCCAACCCACUACUAUAAGUAAUCUCCUGAUCCAUAAGAAUAGUCACAUUACUCUAUCGUUUAAAAAUAUUCUGUGACACUUUGCCCUGUGAUUCAAGAGUGUUAUUUGCAUGUAUAUUUUUGUUUAAAAUUAAACAAAGAGUCAUUCCAUCUAAGUUUUUAGAUUCUAUAUCCUGCUUAGUUAAGAAAUACAAAAUCUUCUGUUUGGCAUUCAAAUUCCUUUAUAACUUGGCCCCCUCCUACCUUUCCAGCUCCUUAUCUACCUUAUUCCAUUUCCCACCCCCCUUCCCAACACACACACACACACACACACUAUGUACUCUCUGAUCUAGUCAUUGGCUAGCAUCCUUGCUAUUCCUCACACAAGGCUCUUGUCAAGUAACUUGUGCCAUUUUCACUGUCUGAGCCCCUUCCCUGGUCUGCUGUCCCUCAUCAUCUCUACUUCCUGGCUCCCUUCAAGUCCCAACUAACAUCUUUUACAAGAAGCCCUUCCUAAGCUCCUUUAAGUUUUUUCCCUCUGUUGAUUAUCUUCAAAUUUAUCAUGUAUUUAUCUUUUUUGUACAUAGUUUUUAUGUAUGUUGUU